rnacentral:rRNA from 1 species
GGAGGGAAACCGAGUCUUAAUUGGGCGUUAAGUUGCAGGGUAUAGACCCGAAACCCGGUGAUCUAGCCAUGGGCAGGUUGAAGGUUGGGUAACACUAACUGGAGGACCGAACCGACUAAUGUUGAAAAAUUAGCGGAUGACCUGUGGCUGGGGGUGAAAGGCCAAUCAAACCGGGAGAUAGCUGGUUCUCCCCGAAAGCUAUUUAGGUAGCGCCUCGUGAAUUCAUCUCCGGGGGUAGAGCACUGUUUCGGCUAGGGGGCCAUCCCGGCUUACCAACCCGAUGCAAACUGCGAAUACCGGAGAAUGUUAUCACGGGAGACACACGGCGGGUGCUAACGUCCGUCGUGAAGAGGGAAACAACCCAGACCGCCAGCUAAGGUCCCAAAGUCAUGGUUAAGUGGGAAACGAUGUGGGAAGGCCCAGACAGCCAGGAUGUUGGCUUAGAAGCAGCCAUCAUUUAAAGAAAGCGUAAUAGCUCACUGGUCGAGUCGGCCUGCGCGGAAGAUGUAACGGGGCUAAACCAUGCACCGAAGCUGCGGCAGCGACGCUGAUGCGUUGUUGGGUAGGGGAGCGUUCUGUAAGCCUGCGAAGGUGGCCUGUGAGGGUUGCUGGAGGUAUCAGAAGUGCGAAUGCUGACAUAAGUAACGAUAAAGCGGGUGAAAAGCCCGCUCGCCGGAAGACCAAGGGUUCCUGUCCAACGUUAAUCGGGGCAGGGUGAGUCGACCCCUAAGGCGAGGCCGAAAGGCGUAGUCGAUGGGAAACGGGUUAAUAUUCCCGUACUUGGUGUUACUGCGAAGGGGGGACGGAGAAGGCUAUGUUGGCCGGGCGACGGUUGUCCCGGUUUAAGCGUGUAGGUGUGUGUUCCAGGUAAAUCCGGUUCACUUUAACACUGAGGCGUGAUGACGAGGCACUACGGUGCUGAAGCAACAAAUGCCCUGCUUCCAGGAAAAGCCUCUAAGCAUCAGGUAACAUCAAAUCGUACCCCAAACCGACACAGGUGGUCAGGUAGAGAAUACCAAGGCGCUUGAGAGAACUCGGGUGAAGGAACUAGGCAAAAUGGUGCCGUAACUUCGGGAGAAGGCACGCUGACACGUAGGUGAAGUGAUUUACUCAUGGAGCUGAAGUCAGUCGAAGAUACCAGCUGGCUGCAACUGUUUAUUAAAAACACAGCACUGUGCAAACACGAAAGUGGACGUAUACGGUGUGACGCCUGCCCGGUGCCGGAAGGUUAAUUGAUGGGGUCAGCGCAAGCGAAGCUCCUGAUCGAAGCCCCGGUAAACGGCGGCCGUAACUAUAACGGUCCUAAGGUAGCGAAAUUCCUUGUCGGGUAAGUUCCGACCUGCACGAAUGGCGUAAUGAUGGCCAGGCUGUCUCCACCCGAGACUCAGUGAAAUUGAACUCGCUGUGAAGAUGCAGUGUACCCGCGGCAAGACGGAAAGACCCCGUGAACCUUUACUAUAGCUUGACACUGAACAUUGAGCCUUGAUGUGUAGGAUAGGUGGGAGGCUUUGAAGUGUGGACGCCAGUCUGCAUGGAGCCGGCCUUGAAAUACCACCCUUUAAUGUUUGAUGUUCUAACGUGGACCCGUGAUCCGGGUUGCGGACAGUGUCUGGUGGGUAGUUUGACUGGGGCGGUCUCCUCCUAAAGAGUAACGGAGGAGCACGAAGGUUGGCUAAUCCUGGUCGGACAUCAGGAGGUUAGUGCAAUGGCAUAAGCCAGCUUGACUGCGAGCGUGACGGCGCGAGCAGGUGCGAAAGCAGGUCAUAGUGAUCCGGUGGUUCUGAAUGGAAGGGCCAUCGCUCAACGGAUAAAAGGUACUCCGGGGAUAACAGGCUGAUACCGCCCAAGAGUUCAUAUCGACGGCGGUGUUUGGCACCUCGAUGUCGGCUCAUCACAUCCUGGGGCUGAAGUAGGUCCCAAGGGUAUGGCUGUUCGCCAUUUAAAGUGGUACGCGAGCUGGGUUUAGAACGUCGUGAGACAGUUCGGUCCCUAUCUGCCGUGGGCGCUGGAGAACUGAGGGGGGCUGCUCCUAGUACGAGAGGACCGGAGUGGACGCAUCACUGGUGUUCGGGUUGUCAUGCCAAUGGCACUGCCCGGUAGCUAAAUGCGGAAGAGAUAAGUGCUGAAAGCAUCUAAGCACGAAACUUGCCCCGAGAUGAGUUCUCCCUGAGACUUAGAGUCUCCUGAAGGAACGUUGAAGACGACGACGUUGAUAGGCCGGGUGUGUAAGCGCAGCGAUGCGUUGAGCUAACCGGUACUAAUGAACCGUGAGGCUUAACCUU